GACGAACGCUGGCGGCGUGCUUAACACAUGCAAGUCGAACGAAGAGCGAUGGAAGCUUGCUUCUAUCAAUCUUAGUGGCGAACGGGUGAGUAACGCGUAAUCAACCUGCCCUUCAGAGGGGGACAACAGUUGGAAACGACUGCUAAUACCGCAUACGAUCUAAUCUCGGCAUCGAGGAUAGAUGAAAGGUGGCCUCUACAUGUAAGCUACCACUGAAGGAGGGGAUUGCGUCUGAUUAGCUAGUUGGAGGGGUAACGGCCCACCAAGGCGAUGAUCAGUAGCCGGUCUGAGAGGAUGAACGGCCACAUUGGGACUGAGACACGGCCCAGACUCCUACGGGAGGCAGCAGUGGGGAAUCUUCCGCAAGGGACGAAAGUCUGACGGAGCAACGCCGCGUGAGCGAUGACGGCCUUCGGGUUGUAAAGCUCUGUUAAUCGGGACGAAAGGCCUUCUUGCGAAUAGUGAGAAGGAUUGACGGUACCGGAAGAGAAAGCCACGGCUAACUACGUG
rnacentral:rRNA from 1 species